UACGUAGGGGGCUAGCGUUGUCCGGAAUCAUUGGGCGUAAAGAGCGUGUAGGCGGUUCGGUAAGUCCGCUGUGAAAGUCGGGGGCUCAACCCUCGGAUGCCGGUGGAUACUGUCGGACUAGAGUACGGAAGAGGCGAGUGGAAUUCCUGGUGUAGCGGUGAAAUGCGCAGAUAUCAGGAGGAACACCGGUGGCGAAGGCGGGUCUCUGGGCAACAACUGACGCUGAGGAGCGAAAGCGUGGGGAGCGAACAGG
rnacentral:rRNA from 1 species